UAGGUCUAGCAGCAGACAGAAGCAUCAAUUCUGUCAGAGGAGACCGAUACAGUAAAUAUGAGUGUGAAAGCAUUUGAACUUGUCCCAGCAAUAGAGAGGUUGCAAUUGUUAGGUGACAAAGCCAAGACUUCGAUUGAAUGCAUUGAAUGUUGUGGGAAAAAUCUAUACAUUGGAACAAGUGACUGCUUUGUUGUGCAUUUUCUACUUGAGGAGAAGGUUCAACCUAAUGGGAAGAUAUCAUUCACAAGUGAUAAGCAAUCUCACAAGUAUUUAGCUGUU